GUUGAAGAUUGAGCGAACAUGUCGCUGUACUGCUGGCUCAUUGCGGUAACCGCUUUGCCCUGCGGAUAUUUUGCACAAACACUGAAACAGAUUGUCCCAUCCAUUACCAAAAAUGUGGGUAAAACCGCUAGAUUCAAAUGCGAAGUCGAAGGUGCAACUAUCAGUGAUAGUUAUCCCCUUCACUGGUACCAGCAAAAGCCGGGCCAGGCACCCACCCGAAUCCUCUAUUAUGGAGCAGGCACAACGCAGGAUCCGGGAUUUGGUGAACGGUUCAAAGCCGGGAAAUCUAACAACAAAGUAUUCUACCUCACAAUCGACAAACUAGAGCCAGAGGACACCGCCACCUAUUACUGUGCGUACUGGAUAGAUACACAGUGCAACACAUCAAUACAAAGUUUGUACAAAAAUACUGAACGAUUUGAAGCGAAACAUUUCGAGGAAUUCACAGACUCCUCCCCUAUUUGGCUUGCAAGUAAUCCUGCUGGUUGGCUUCACCAAGUUGAUACCUCAUCUUCAGGUGAACAUUUUGCCGAGGUCUUGCAUCAGUUUCCAAUAUCGGUCACUAGGCCCAAGGCUACAACGAUCAAAAUGCAAUAUGUGGCACAAAACACAGAAACCAUCCAUUGGUACCAGAGCCGACCCAGCAGGCGCCGAGGAGAUUAA